rnacentral:rRNA from 1 species
CGCCCCACUACGUGCCGUCACCCGCGGUGACACGUAAGCUCCGAGCGUUGUCCGGAUUUAUUGUGCGGAAAGAGCUCGUAUGCGGUUUAGUAAGUCGGGUGUUAAAACUCUGGGCUCAACCCGGACAGGCCAUCCGAUACUGCUGUGACUUGAUUUCAGGAGGGGAGCGGGGAAUUCCUAGUGGAGGGGUGAAAUGCGCACAUAUUAGGAGGAACACCGGUGGCGAAGGCGCCGCUCUGGACUGAAACUGACGCUGAGGAACGAAAGCAUGGGUAGCAAACAGGAUUAAAUACCCUGGUAGUCCAUGCCGUAAACGGUGGGCACUAGGUGUGGGUUCCAACUAACGGGAUCCGCGCCGUCGCUAACGCAUUAAUUGCCCCGCCUGGGGAGUACGGUCGCAAGACUAAAACUC